rnacentral:rRNA from 1 species
AUUGAACGCUGGCGGCAGGCCUAACACAUGCAAGUCGAGCGGAUGAAGGGAGCUUGCUCCUGGAUUCAGCGGCGGACGGGUGAGUAAUGCCUAGGAAUCUGCCUGGUAGUGGGGGAUAACGUCCGGAAACGGGCGCUAAUACCGCAUACGUCCUGAGGGAGAAAGUGGGGGAUCUUCGGACCUCACGCUAUCAGAUGAGCCUAGGUCGGAUUAGCUAGUUGGUGGGGUAAAGGCCUACCAAGGCGACGAUCCGUAACUGGUCUGAGAGGAUGAUCAGUCACACUGGAACUGAGACACGGUCCAGACUCCGACGGGAGGCAGCAGUGGGGAAUAUUGGACAAUGGGCGAAAGCCUGAUCCAGCCAUGCCGCGUGUGUGAAGAAGGUCUUCGGGUUGUAAAGCACUUUAAGUUGUGAGGAAGGGCAGUAAGUUAAUACCUGGCUGUUUUGACGUUACCAACAGAAUAAGCACCGGCUAACUUCGU